rnacentral:rRNA from 1 species
UACGAAGGGGGCUAGCGUUGCUCGGAAUCACUGGGCGUAAAGCGCACGUAGGCGGAUUGCUAAGUCAGGGGUGAAAUCCUGGAGCUCAACUCCAGAACUGCCUUUGAUACUGGCGAUCUUGAGUCCGGGAGAGGUGAGUGGAACUGCGAGUGUAGAGGUGAAAUGCGUAGAUAUCUGGAGGAACACCGGUGGCGAAGGCGGCGUCCUGGACCAACACUGACACUGAGGAGCGAAAGCCAGGGGAGCAAACGGG